CAACAGCGCUGGAUCAUCACACUUAAUGUGCUGUAAAUCUCAAAGUGUCGACCGAGACCAGGGCUCAAGAGGAGGGACUGAUGAUCCGGGUCUGGUGUGCAGAUUGCUGAUCUCUGGCAGAAAGAAAGAGGGAAAACCUAUGCUUCCGUAAGAACAAGUGGUUUGUUUACAGGUCCUGUCAGGAAAUUCUUGGAAGAAUUAUACAUCCUUCUAUCAAACAUCCCUGAAUAUGUCCUUUGUGAAUUCAACAUCCAGAUGGAGAAGUUAACAUCUGACUUAUUACCUUCAGUAUCCUCUUUCCCUCUCUCACAGCUUUGGCUAUUUAUAGUGCCCAUCCGAAUAAUCCAUCACCAUCAUUGCAGUGAUAUCUCAAUCGUCACUAUUGAAUUUAAUGUCAGAGAGAUGAUCGAUAAUUAAUAUAUAGCAUCCAUAUUGAAACAGAUGUGCCUCACAGUUCAGGAUCAAAUAAAAAUAUUAUUAACAGGGAAAAAUUGGUAAUAAUUAAUGUAAGUAAUGUAAAUAAAAAUAUAAAAUCAUUCAUGAAUAAUUAAAAAUUAAGCUUAAAAAUGCACCAUUAAGUGACUAUGAGUAACAAGAUAUGAUAUAAAUUGGGAAUUAGGGCCAAGUGGUCCAUUAAUUACCACAAGGUGGAAUGAUGGUCUGUUACCCUUGACAAAGUAAUACCUAGAUA